rnacentral:rRNA from 1 species
ACGGAGGGUGCAAGCGUUGUUCGGAAUUAUUGGGCGUAAAGGGCACGUAGGCGGUUUUGAUAGUCAGAAGUCAAAGCCGCCGGCUCAACUUGAGUAUUGCAAUUGAAACUGCAAAACUCGAGUACGUGAGAGGGAAGUGGAAUUCCCGGUGUAGAGGGGAAAUUCGUAGAUAUCGGGAGGAACACCAGUGGCGAAGGCGGUUUCCUGGCCUGAUACUGACGCUCAUGUGCGAAAGCUUGGGUAGCGAACGG